AGCCGCCUCAGCCAGCAGCUGAUUGCACUUUGCAGCCCGCGUGGCAUUCGCCGCAGGACUUCUGCGGAAUGUUCUCCUGCGCGUCUUUGGGCCACAGACACGUCUGAGGACUGAGGCUCUUUGCGUUGGCAGAUUGUGAGAGGUUCACAUGGCGAUGACCUGUACAGUCCCUCUUUGUGGAUUGAACAGGGAUUUAAGAAUGAAUCACCAUCAACCUUGAGGUAUUGCUCAUAAAGUUGUGAUCUCUCAUCUCUGGAGAGCUUUUGAAAGAAGAGUCCAUGCUGGAUUUGAGAGGAGAAAUAUUCAGUAACAAUUCUCAGCUUCACUGAGAAAAAUUUAAAUGGGUACACAAAAUCAUGAAAAUUCUAAAGACUAAAAGACUGAAUUUGUAGACUUGCAUUAAAACCAACAUGUGUCUUAUUAGAGAGGUACAGAGACGAAUUAGAGAUGACACCUUCCUGUCAUGGUAACAGUUGUCACUUUGUAAUGAGCUAUUGAAAGAUUUACAGCUUUUAGCGCUAUUCAUCCCUCUGUAGACUAAGACUUGUGAACUACUUGUGCUGCAGGUCAGGCAGAUGCGUUGCUCUAGAUGUGAUUCCUGAUGCGGAUGGCAGUUGGCACUGUUCUUCCCAGUCCUGUUAGCAGUUAUUUUCCAGCAGUUUCACUUUUUGGUUUACCCAGUAUUACGUGGGUGCAGAAUUUAGUCUAGAAUGACUUUCAAAUGCUUUCUUAUCAUUGUGUAGAGCCAGGGUUAACAAACCUCACUUCAGAUGUGCGCUGCAACUAGUGUUGUACUGACAAGAGCAGCAAUGAGGCAAGAGCUAAUGGCUCAUACUGGAUGCAUAUAUCAUCACAAAUUGAAAUUCACACUUCUGGAGGAAAAUUCCACACUUCUGGGUACUGCAGAAUUGUUCCUUCAGUGAACAGUAUUCCACUUGUCUAGAAAGUAGCUUUCUAAACCCUCUUGGCUUGCUCCAGACUGUGUGCAACAUGAAAGAUGAAGAGUAAGAUGAGAAUGGCAGGGAUGCUACUGUAGUUUCUGUACUGGCCAUCAAAUCACAAAACGUGAGUAACUGCAAGUAUUUCCAAAUCAAUUUAUGCGUUUGUUUCCAAAGGAGGUCUGUGAUGCUUUCUCAAUGCAAGGUGUUGGGCUCUUGAAAUGAGAGCUGCUGAGUAAUCAAAGGGGAGAUGAUGCAAGACGGCCUUCUCUAAAAACUAGGUAAAAACACUGCUGUCAUGAAAUAGUUUUGGCUGCAUUGCUGUAACGUACAGAU